rnacentral:rRNA from 1 species
UACAGAGGGUGCGAGCGUUAUUCGGAAUUACUGGGCGUAAAGCGUACGUAGGUGGCGACGCAAGUCUGGUGUGAAAGCCCGCCGCUUAACCGGGGAAUGGCAUUGGAGACUGCAUUGCUGGAGUACGGAAGAGGAGAGUGGAAUUCCCGGUGUAGCGGUGAAAUGCGUAGAUAUUGGGAGGAACACCAGUGGCGAAGGCGGCUCACUGGUCCGGUACUGACACUGAAGCGCGAAAGCGUGGGGAGCAAACAGG